UAAUAGCUCACCAAGGCAUCGACGGGUAGCUGGUCUGAGAGGACGAUCAGCCACACUGGGACUGAGACACGGCCCAGACUCCUACGGGAGGCAGCAGUUAGGAAUUUCCGCAAUGGGCGAAAGCCUGACCGAGCGACGCCGCGUGGAGGAUGAAGGCCUUCGGGUUGUAAACUCCUGUCGAGGGGGAGGAAGUCCCGAUUUAUCGGGAUUGACCGAUCCCUGGAGGAAGCACGGGCUAAGUUCGUGCCAGCAGCCGCGGUAAGACGAACCGUGCGAACGUUGUUCGGAAUCACUGGGCUUAAAGGGCGCGUAGGCGGCUUGCCAAGUCAGUGGUAAUAUAAAAACAGCUUAACUGCGGAAGUGCCAUUGAUACUGGCGAGCUCGAGGGAGGUAGGGGUAUGUGGAACUUCUGGUGGAGCGGUGAAAUG
rnacentral:rRNA from 1 species